rnacentral:rRNA from 1 species
GUGCGACGAUGCGUAGGGGUUCUGAGAGGAAGGUCCCCCACACUGGUACUGAGACACGGACCAGACUCCUACGGGAGGCAGCAGUGAGGAAUAUUGGUCAAUGGGAGAGAUCCUGAACCAGCCAAGCCGCGUGAGGGAAGACGGCCCUAUGGGUUGUAAACCUCUUUUGUCGGAGAACAAAACCCGGGACGAGUCCCGGACUGCGUGUAUCCGAAGAAAAAGCAUCGGCUAACUCCGUGCCAGCAGCCGCGGUAAUACGGAGGAUGCGAGCGUUAUCCGGAUUUAUUGGGUUUAAAGGGUGCGUAGGCGGUCCGUUAAGUCAGCGGUAAAAUUGCGGGGCUCAACCCCGUCGAGCCGUUGAAACUGGCAGACUUGAGUUGGCGAGAAGUACGCGGAAUGCGCGGUGUAGCGGUGAAAUGCAUAGAUAUCGCGCAGAACUCCGAUUGCGAAGGCAGCGUACCGGCGCCAGACUGACGCUGAGGCACGAAAGCGUGGGGAUCGAACAGGAUUAGAUACCCUGGUAGUCCACGCAGUAAACGAUGAAUGCUGGUUGUCCGGGUCGAAUGAGACCUGGGCGGCGA